GUACAUAUUUUUAAAUAUUAAUGUCCCAUUUUAAAACUAAUUUAUUUAUAUAUGUAGUAGAAAACAAUAUUAAAUUUUGAUGAAAUCUUAUUAAAAUUUGCAAUUUAUUUUUAUUUUUAACUUGAAUUUGCAAAAACUGGAUUUUAUAUUGAAGUAGGUCUGAUUUAACGCAAAUUCGAUUUUUAGUACAACCCAGAACCAGUUAGAAGAGAGAGUCAGGAUCCGACUGGUUCGAUCGUACGGUCCGAUCAGAUUUUCAAAACAUUGGUUAAUACAGUUUAAUAAUUAAAAAAUAUAUUUUUAAUAAUGAAUAUCUUUACUACUAAAAACAUACAUAUCAUCUUUAAAUUUAUUUCUAACAAAUCUCACACUAUAAAAAAUAAUGAAUAAUAAAAAAAUUAAAAGUCAAUAGUUAUAAUGUGAAAAAAAAAAAUUAUACUAGAGUUAAAAAAUUUUAAAGAUUAAAAAUCUCAAACCCGCGCUUCUUAAGCGCAGAUCAAAAUCUAGUUGAUACUUAUAAUGUAUAUAUACAACAUAUUUAAAUCUGGAUAAAAUACAAUAUUUUAAUUUUAGAAUUGACCUAAUUAUAUGUUCACUGUACACGCC
rnacentral:lncRNA from 1 species